rnacentral:rRNA from 1 species
UACAGAGGGGGCAAGCGUUAUUCGGAAUUAUUGGGCGUAAAGGGCGCGUAGGCGGCUUGGCAAGUGGAAGGUGAAAUCCCUCGGCUUAACCGAGGAACUGCCCUCCAAACUGCUUCGCUUGAGACCGGGAGAGGUGAGUGGAAUUCCCAGUGUAGUGGUGAAAUACGUAGAGAUUGGGAAGAACACCAGUGGCGAAGGCGGCUAUCUGGACGGUUUCUGACGCUAAGACGCGAAAGCGUGGGGAGCAAACAGG